rnacentral:rRNA from 1 species
GAUGAACGCUGGCGGCGUGCCUAAUACAUGCAAGUCGAGCGAACAGACGAGGAGCUUGCUCCUCUGACGUUAGCGGCGGACGGGUGAGUAGCACGUGGAUAACCUACCUAUAAGACUGGGAUAACUUCGGGAAACCGGAGCUAAUACCGGAUAACAUGUUGAACCGCAUGGUUCAACAGUGAAAGACGGUCUUGCUGUCACUUAUAGAUGGAUCCGCGCCGCAUUAGCUAGUUGGUAAGGUAACGGCUUACCAAGGCAACGAUGCGUAGCCGACCUGAGAGGGUGAUCGGCCACACUGGAACUGAGACACGGUCCAGACUCCUACGGGAGGCAGCAGUAGGGAAUCUUCCGCAAUGGGCGAAAUCCUGACGGAGCAACGCCGCGUGAGUGAAGAAGGUCUUCGGAUCGUAAAACUCUGUUAUUAGGGAAGAACAAAUGUGUAAGUAACUAUGCACGUCUUGACGGUACCUAAUCAGAAAGCCACGGCUAACUACGUG